rnacentral:rRNA from 1 species
AUUGAACGCUGGCGGCAGGCCUAACACAUGCAAGUCGAGCGGAUGAAGGGAGCUUGCUCCUGGAUUCAGCGGCGGACGGGUGAGUAAUGCCUAGGAAUCUGCCUGGUAGUGGGGGAUAACGUCCGGAAACGGGCGCUAAUACCGCAUACGUCCUGAGGGAGAAAGUGGGGGAUCUUCGGACCUCACGCUAUCAGAUGAGCCUAGGUCGGAUUAGCUAGUUGGUGGGGUAAAGGCCUACCAAGGCGACGAUCCGUAACUGGUCUGAGAGGAUGAUCAGUCGCACUGGAACUGAGACACGGUCCAGAGUCCUGCGGGAGGCAGCAGUGGGGAAUAUUGGACAGUGGGCGAAAGCCUGGUCCAGCCAUGCCGCGUGUGUGAAGAAGGUCUUCGGAGUGUAAAGCACUUUAAGUUGGGAGGAAGGGCAGUAAGUUAAUACCUUGCUGUUUUGACGUUACCAGCAGAAUAAGCACCGGCUAACUUCGUG